CAGAGCUUCCUCUCGCAGCUGAUUGAGAAGAAAUAUCUUGCUGCUGAGUUGCUGUCUACAACCAUCUUUUUCUACUUCUGACAUCUAGAAUCAAACGUUAUGUAAGAGCUUCCUGCCGGUCGUGGUUUGUCACCGGGCGUCCCUCAAGAUCUUGCAAGGUCCUCAAAUGGAAAAUUGUAUAAAGACGGUAAUGCGGUAAGUUUGCAACAGGGUUGUCUGCCAGGAACAGAGAAGUCAAAUCCUUUAGAGGCUUCAGUUUAGCAACCUCGUGGAGCUGGGAAAGAAAAAAAUGUAAAAAAAUUGGUAUUUUCCCGAUGCCGGACAUAGAUGUGGGCAAAAUGUCAGGAAAGAAUGCUACUGGAAUAUGGCCAUACAGCCUGAAAAUGUCACAGCAACCCAGUGAUUCUGGCCACGAAAGCCUUUAACAACACAAAAAAACUUACUGAUGAUAUUUUGUUUUUUUUCAGAUUUAGGAUCCGCAGAGACCGGAGUUUUUUAUUCAGCCAUGCAGGGAUUCGCUCAAUCUCAUUCCCAGCCAGAUUCAGUUUCUGCAGGUUGUGUAGGUGCUCAAUGCCUUCAAUUUUACUAGAAAACAACAACAAAUAGUAGAAUGAGACAUCAUGAAAUGGGCAGAAAUUUAGUUUCAGUGGCGACAGAGAUAUGGGUUAAAACAGGAUAUUCUCGACUUUAAAUAAUGGAAGUUGUCAUAUGCAGCAAAAAAAGAACAAGAUUUGUAUCCAGUGCCAUUUUCAUUUCUCUUUUUGACAGCUAUUGCUCUUUCUUCAUCCCUCACAAUGUAUGUCUGCUUUGGGAAUUCUAAGGUGCAAUAUUCUGAUACAGAAACACUCACAAUAUUAUUUCUUUCUAUUUUUUUGCUCAUUUCCCCCUUUGCUUACCUUAUUUUGUUGUAAGACACAUUGAGGUCACUUAGUUUCAAAAGUCUGUCCAGUUUUUCAAUCUUCUCAAUCAGAUUGUGACUCAGAUUGAGGGUCUCUAAUUUAUCACACUUCUCCAGAUUUUCUAUGUACUAAAACACAAAAACAAACCAAGACUGUGAACCUCAGGAAGAAGACAGAAGGCUACAAUACAUACAAUUUACAUACAAUAUAUUAUUAACAUAGCACAAUAUAAGCAUUAUAUAUUGCUAUAUUGUACUAUAACAAUAUAUUGUAAUAUUAUUAGUAAAAUUAUAUGUAAUAUAAAUAUAGUUAUAAUAGUGUAUUAUUAUUAUAUUGUAUUACAUGAUAAUAUUAUUAAUAUUAUAUGCAUAUACAAUAUAUUAUAUUAUUUGUAUAUUGUAAUAUGAGUAUUAUAUAUUACUAGCUGUGCCCAGCCACGCGUUGCUGUGGCGUUGGUGAGAAAUUUUUGAGGUAGUGGUGGUACUGAAUGUCUGUUGUAUGGUUGUCUUUAUGUUUAGUAUGCACACUGAAGUGGAUUAUAUGGCAGUGUGGAGUCAAGAUAAUCCAGUUCAAAGCAGAUAAUAUAAGAUUCUAAAUAGGUUAUAUAGCUGUGUGGAAGGGGCUUGAGUCUACAUUGCCAUAUAAUCCAGUUAAAAUCGGAUAAUCUGUGGAAGAGGCCUAAGUGAGGCCUAACUGUGCCUGUCCCCUGGGCUGAGUAGGUUGCUAGGAGACCAAGUGGGUGGAGCUUAGCCUUCAAACUGGCAGCAAUUGGAUAAAAACUAUUAUUCCUCUCCCUGUAAUUAGGACUUUAUUUUUCUUUUCCUUUUUGUUGUAUCAACCUAGAGCCAUGGAUGAUGGGUUGUGUUUUGUCAAAUUUCGAGGUUGGGGGGCCUGUAGUUUUGUUGUUUUGUCCGCUGCCCUGAUGCCAUCACUCUUUUAUAUAUAUAGAUGAUAUUAUUAUAAUUGACUCAGCAGA